AGGUAAGCUACUAAGAGCGAAUGGUGGAUGCCUUGACUGGUAAAGGCGAUGAAGGACGUACUAGACUGCGAUAAGCUACGGGGAGCUGUCAAGAAGCUUUGAUCCGUAGAUUUCCGAAUGGGGCAACCCAAUGUAUAGAGAUAUACAUUACCUAUAUAGGAGCGAACGAGGGGAAUUGAAACAUCUUAGUACCCUCAGGAAAAGAAAUCAAUAGAGAUUGCGUCAGUAGCGGCGAGCGAAAGCGCAAGAGGGCAAACCCAGUGCUUGCACUGGGGGUUGUAGGACUGCAAUGUGCAAGAGGUGAGUUUAGCAGAACAUUCUGGAAAGUAUAGCCAUAGAGGGUGAUAGUCCCGUAUGCGAAAAACAAACCUUAGCUAGCAGUAUCCUGAGUAGGGCGGGACACGAGAAAUCCUGUCUGAAGCUGGGUCGACCACGAUCCAACCCUAAAUACUAAUACCAGAUCGAUAGUGCACAAGUACCGUGAGGGAAAGGUGAAAAGAACUGAGGUGAUCAGAGUGAAAUAGAACCUGAAACCAUUUGCUUACAAUCAUUCAGAGCCCUAUGUAGCAAUACAGGGUGAUGGACUGCCUUUUGCAUAAUGAGCCUGCGAGUUGUGGUGUCUGGCAAGGUUAAGCAAACGCGAAGCCGUAGCGAAAGCGAGUCUGAAUAGGGCGCUUAGUCAGAUGCUGCAGACCCGAAACGAAGUGAUCUAUCCAUGAGCAAGUUGAAGCUAGUGUAAGAACUAGUGGAGGACUGAACCCAUAGGCGUUGAAAAGCCCCGGGAUGACUUGUGGAUAGGGGUGAAAGGCCAAUCAAACUUCGUGAUAGCUGGUUCUCUCCGAAAUAUAUUUAGGUAUAGCGUUGUGUCGUAAUAUAAGGGGGUAGAGCACUGAAUGGGCUAGGGCAUACACCAAUGUACCAAACCCUAUCAAACUCCGAAUACCUUAUAUGUAAUCACAGCAGUCAGGCGGCGAGUGAUAAAAUCCGUCGUCAAGAGGGAAACAACCCAGACUACCAGCUAAGGUCCCUAAAUCUUACUUAAGUGGAAAACGAUGUGAAGUUACUUAAACAACCAGGAGGUUGGCUUAGAAGCAGCCAUCCUUUAAAGAAAGCGUAAUAGCUCACUGGUCUAGUGAUUUUGCGCGGAAAAUAUAACGGGGCUAAAGUAAGUACCGAAGCUGUAGACUUGCGCACAACUUAGAUUAUUUAAGUUUAGAAUAUGAGAAACUAAGUUAUAUGUUUAGUUAUAUUUUUACUGAUUUUUAUAGAGUAAAGAUAGAAAUAAAACUUAGUAAAAUCAGUAAAAAUAUUCUUAGACUAAAGUUAAGUAGUUUAAGUUGUGUGCAAGUGGUAGGAGAGCGUUCUAUUUGCGUCGAAGGUAUACCGGUAAGGAGUGCUGGAGCGAAUAGAAGUGAGCAUGCAGGCAUGAGUAGCGAUAAUUAAUGUGAGAAUCAUUAACGCCGUAAACCCAAGGUUUCCUACGCGAUGCUCGUCAUCGUAGGGUUAGUCGGGUCCUAAGUCGAGUCCGAAAGGGGUAGACGAUGGCAAAUUGGUUAAUAUUCCAAUACCAACAUUAGUGUGCGAUGGAAGGACGCUUAGGGCUAAGGGGGCUAGCGGAUGGAAGUGCUAGUCUAAGGUCGUAGGAGGUUAUACAGGCAAAUCCGUAUAACAAUACUCCGAGAACUGAAAGGCUUUUUGAAGUCUUCGGAUGGAUAGAAGAACCCCUGAUGCCGUCGAGCCAAGAAAAGUUUCUAAGUUUAGCUAAUGUUGCCCGUACCGUAAACCGACACAGGUGGGUGGGAUGAGUAUUCUAAGGCGCGUGGAAGAACUCUCUUUAAGGAACUCUGCAAAAUAGCACCGUAUCUUCGGUAUAAGGUGUGGUUAGCUUUGUAUUAGGAUUUACUCCGAAAGCAAGGAAACUUACAACAAAGAGUCCCUCCCGACUGUUUACCAAAAACACAGCACUCUGCUAACUCGUAAGAGGAUGUAUAGGGUGUGACGCCUGCCCGGUGCUCGAAGGUUAAUUGAUGGGGUUAGCAUUAGCGAAGCUCUUGAUCGAAGCCCGAGUAAACGGCGGCCGUAACUAUAACGGUCCUAAGGUAGCGAAAUUCCUUGUCGGUUAAAUACCGACCUGCAUGAAUGGCGUAACGAGAUGGGAGCUGUCUCAAAGAGGGAUCCAGUGAAAUUGUAGUGGAGGUGAAAAUUCCUCCUACCCGCGGCAAGACGGAGAGACCCCGUGGACCUUUACUACAGCUUGACACUGCUACUUGGAUAAGAAUGUGCAGGAUAGGUGGGAGGCUUUGAGUAUAUGACGCCAGUUGUAUAUGAGCCAUUGUUGAGAUACCACUCUUUCUUAUUUGGGUAGCUAACCAGCUUGAGUUAUCCUCAAGUGGGACAAUGUCUGGUGGGUAGUUUGACUGGGGCGGUCGCCUCCCAAAUAAUAACGGAGGCUUACAAAGGUUGGCUCAGAACGGUUGGAAAUCGUUCGUAGAGUAUAAAGGUAUAAGCCAGCUUAACUGCAAGACAUACAAGUCAAGCAGAGACGAAAGUCGGUCUUAGUGAUCCGGUGGUUCUGUGUGGAAGGGCCAUCGCUCAAAGGAUAAAAGGUACCCCGGGGAUAACAGGCUGAUCUCCCCCAAGAGCUCACAUCGACGGGGAGGUUUGGCACCUCGAUGU
rnacentral:rRNA from 1 species